AUGGAGAGUUUGAUCCUGGCUCAGGAUGAACGCUGGCGGCGUGCUUAACACAUGCAAGUCGAACGGUGAACCACUUCGGUGGGGAUCAGUGGCGAACGGGUGAGUAACACGUGAGUAACCUGCCCUUGACUUUGGGAUAACUUCAGGAAACUGGGGCUAAUACCGGAUAGGAGCUCCUGCUGCAUGGUGGGGGUUGGAAAGUUUCGGCGGUUGGGGAUGGACUCGCGGCUUAUCAGCUUGUUGGUGGGGUAGUGGCUUACCAAGGCUUUGACGGGUAGCCGGCCUGAGAGGGUGACCGGCCACACUGGGACUGAGACACGGCCCAGACUCCUACGGGAGGCA
rnacentral:rRNA from 1 species